UACGGAGGGUGCGAACGUUAAUCGGAAUCACUGGGCGUAAAGCGCGCGUAGGCGGUCCGUUAAGUGAGAUGUGAAAUCCCCGGGCUUAACCUGGGAAUUGCAUUUCAAACUGGCGGACUAGAGUGCGGUAGAGGGAGGUAGAAUUUCCUGUGUAGCGGUGAAAUGCGUAGAUAUAGGAAGGAAUACCAGUGGCGAAGGCGGCCUCCUGGAUCGACACUGACGCUGAGGCGCGAAAGCGUGGGGAGCAAACAGG
rnacentral:rRNA from 1 species